GGGAGGGCUCGGGGUGGGGCCGGGGCUCUGUGAGGCACUGCUGCAGAUGUGGAAGUGUCUGAGCUGGAGAUAUGCAGAGAACAUCUGAAUUCCAUACUUGCCCCUUGUGCAAUGAAGAACUAAGUUGCACGCGAGGGGAGCAGUAUUUAUAAACUGUCUCCAUAUUUCCCUGUCAUUCUGGCUGUUUGGAUUUAGCCUGGGCUUAUCAGCUAGAUCAUAAACAAGCCAACCCAGCUCCUGAACUCUCAAUGAAAUGCUUCUACAGACAGACAAGCUAGUAAUGAUUCCAAAGGAAAAAUUGUAAAUGAAGGCUAAUGAUUGCUGGGGAAUUUCCUUAGGAACUUCCUUAGGAAUGAUGAACUUCACACACAGAAUUUUGGAGGUGGAAUCCAAAUUUCAGCCUUGGGCACUUGCAGGAGAAGAGGGAUCCUUAUCCAUAGCAAGGAAAGUCUGGUGCCCCAGUGUGUCAAGUGCUGACAGUGAACUGUCUAGGGAAUGAGCAGCAAGUCCCCCCUGCCCUCACACUCAGAGCGGCAGCAGCCACAGGUGUCAGCUAUGAGAAUGAUGAGGACAGGGAACAAAGACAGCUGGGUGCUGUAACGAUGAUGAGGGGGCGGGUCCUCCCGAGGCUGCUUUAAGAGGGGGUGCCUCAGCUCAGUUCCGCAUGGAGCUGCUGGAAGAGAGAGGCUUAUGGUGGCCUCCCAGGCAUGUCUCAUGGAGUGAUGGUGAGAGCCUCUCAUUGGGUCUGGGGGAGCAACUGGAUGCACUUGGGUGUGGGGCUUUGCUUGAAGGAGGUGCUGGGGGGCAAACCUUUGUGCUAGACGGGGCAGCAGCCGGUGAGCCAGUGUGGGUUUGUACAGGGGACUUUCACCUUUUGCUUUUCAAUUUUAUCUUGCUAAUCCCUCCCUGCUGCCCCUGAAAAAAAUGGGGGUUAUGAGGACAAAGGAAGUUUAAAUUGAGGGAAGAAACUCCUGUUUUGUUAUUGUCUGUGUUUAAAUUGGUGAAAACCCCCCUUUGCCUAGGAUUUUAAUGAAUAGUAGUAUUUAAAUGUGGUUUUUAUUAAAUAUUAUGGUUUUUGGUGGUAUAUAGUGUUUUGCUUUAUUUUUUGGUUGUAUUUAUUAGAUGUAAUUUAGUUUUUGAGUGAAGAUAACUUAAUGGAUGAGUUUGUUUGUAUUUGAGAUAGAAUUAAUUCGAGUAGCUUUUUAAAUAGACUUCUGAUAAAUGUUAUUGAGGUUUUGUUUUUAUUUAUUGUAUGUAGGGAUUCAGAUUGGGUAGGGCUGGCUUGGGUGAUGGAGAUUUGGGUGUUUUGUUGGAUGCAGCUUUUAAUAUUUAAAAGUUUUUUCUGUUUAGUUUUUUUAAGGUGGUUUUUACUAUUUCACUGUGUAGAUUUAUUUUGUUUGUUGAUGGUGUAUGAUAAGGGAUACGGUCUAUUUAUUUAAUGUUGUAUUUCUUACUUCAGGUGUUGAUCAUGUUUUUUUUUUUAGACUGGGUUUUGUUGUUUGUUUUUUUUUAUGGGGUAUGAUAUGUUAAAGGAUAUGCUUUCUAAGGCUUACCAUGGUGUAAUGGGAUGUAAUAUGAGGUACAGGGUCUGCUUUCAGUCAUUUAGUGGUGUUUAUUGUUAUUGCGGUGAGUAUGUAGUGUUUUGGUUGGUUUGAGGUAGUGUGAUGUAGUUAAUUUGUUAGGAUUUUCUAAUACAUGUGGUUGGAUUAUUGUUUCUUUUAUUGCAAGGGUUUAUUCAUUUGGUUUAUUUGGUUGCAGUAUAUGUUUGAUAGGUUCAGAUAAUUUGGGAGAUACUGUUCAUGGUUAAAUUGAUCUUUUGGUUUUGUGUGUAUAUAUAGGUGAUUUUUUUGUUUGGAUGGUUUGAGGCAUUAUGGGUUUAUUGAAUUAGGAAUAAUAUUUUUGGUGUUGUUAAGUUUAUUUGUGAUAUUUUUAUAUUUGCGGCAUGAUUUGUUUGUUGUUUUGGUGGGUCUUAUUUGUUUUAUUUUUGCAAACAUGGCAGUGAUAUGGUGGAUUUUUUAGGUAGUUUUUUGGGGUAGUGACAUUCCUGUUUUGUUGCGGUGUGGAUUUUCUACUCUAAGUUUUCAAGCUAGCUUUCUAUUUCAUUUGUGUGUUAUGAUUUAAAUUAUACAUACUGUUAGGUGUCAAUCCUCUGUGCCCCUGCCUCUAUUUCUAGAGCUUUCCCUGCCAGUCUUUCUUAAAUCGAUAUAUCAUUUGCUGUUUCAUAUCAUCACACUGCUUCUGCUAUUCCCAUUGGAUUUUGUUCUGUACUCCCUGCCCUAAACCCCUCCCUGAGUGCAUUUUCAUUGGUUGCUUGCUUUGUAUUGCCCUGUCUAUAAAACGCACGGGAGGACACGUGCCCCCGGUCUUUGGGGUCCAGCUUUUAGUUGUUAUGCUUCAGUUAUACCUGUAAUAAAUCUCCUUAGUUUACCCCAAGACCCGUCUCGUCUUCACUUUGUCUCUGCGCGCAUAGACUGGCUGAACCAGAGUCCCGGUGGGGAAGUGAGAGCUCCCCGGGGGAAGGUGUCGCACCCCUGAAUGUCGCUGCGUGCCCUGGGGUUUAGGAAAACACGCACAGCGACACUGUUUACUAGUUUAGAUUUUUUCAUGUUGUUAAUUAGUUUGGGUUUUUUAGUUAUUUUAUAGAGUAGUGGUUAUUAUUUAUGAGUUAGUGUAGGUUUUUUUAGUUGUGUUUAGGGUCAGUUGUAGGUCAGUUUUGAGUUCAGCAAGUUGGAUUGAUUUAUAUCUUCUGCUAGUUUUUGUGAUUUGCUGUGUGGAAUUCUCUAUGGUUGUUUCCAGUUUUUGUUCUAUUUUUAUGAUGUGAUAAGAAUUGUUAGUGAAAAGACUCUAGUGUUCUUUGUUUGUAUGGUGGAGUUUUUUAGUUUGUGUUCGUUUUUUGGUUUUUUUUUGUUAAUGGUAAUAAAGAUUUUUUGGGGGGUUAAUUUGUGAUUACUUGAAAGAUUUUAGGGACAUUUAGGCUUUUUUAUGUGGGUGUGCUGUAUGAAGAGAGUAAUUUAUUUGUUUUAUGUGAUGUUGGUGGUGUGGUGGGUAGAGGGCCUUUUUGUAGUAGUUAUUUUAAAUGUUUGAGGGGUUUUGGCACUUUAGUUACAGUGGGACUUUUAAAUUUUAUUUUUAGUUAGUUUUUUUAGGUUUUAUUACAGUUAACAGUUGUGAUUUUUUUUGCUGUGUUAGUAAUAGAAGUGGAUUUUGAUUUUGUAUGUAGUGAUGGGAUUAUUGUAUAUGGCAUACUAGUGUUGACUGGGAUUUAAAUUUCUGUGGUUCUGAUGUGUUAGGUUAAUAUGUUUAUGUAUUUCAAAACACAUGGGAUUUUGCUUUUUGUUUGGUUAGAGACAGGCCUUUUUAAGUUUGGGGAGGUUCUGGAUGUAUAUUUGAGUUUUUUUAAAGGAAUUGGACGAGGUAUUAUUUUCAUUAUAUUUAGUAGUUUGAUUAUGGGUCAUCAGAGUUGGCUUUUUUUGGUGCAAUUUUUUUUGAGUUUUCUUUUUCAAAGUUCAUGUAUUUGUGUGGUUAGGGCAGUGGUGUUUCUGGUGUAACUCUAAGCAUCCAUUGUUGUUUGUGUGUUCCAGCUGCUCUGCUCGUAUUACAUUGAGACCCCCUUACAGAGCGGCAAACAGCUCUGCUGAGACCGUGCCCUGAUGUUUGGUUUUCUUUGUGAGAGCUGACUGAGACACAGCAGCCCGGGGACAGCAGGGAAUUCCCCAAGGGCAGGACGGCCUUCCUUUGCACCCGACGCAGAUUCUCGUUCCCGGAAGUCCCAGAGAUAAGUGGAGGGCUAUGAGCCACAGAGGGGAUGAAAGCAGGGUGCCGGGUGGGAACUCGCGGAGAGGGGUCUGGAGUCAGCUCUGCAGACCGGGAUGGCCCAGAUGUGACCCUUUAGGCCACAUCGAGGGAAAGUCUCCGUUUUGAUCACAGUGCUGAGGUGUGCAGGGCAGAGCAGUCCCAGGCCAUGUGGAGUCACUUGUCUGUUGUGCACUCUGUGUCUUUUGGGCGUCUCACAUGCAAUGUCUUCUGCCUUAGCUCUUCAAGGAGCCUCUUGGAAACACCAGGCAUCGUUCUUAUUACCUCCCUAUUCCUCAGCUCGGUGGCUUUGACUUGGGACCUCGCACGCACAUCAGAAUCACAUCUCUCUUCAGAAGCAUCCGGUCCCAGGUCUUUUCAGGUCUUGUUCUGAGCUGUACUGACAGCUGUGCACCGCAAUGAUCCAUUGUGGCGGAGUAGGCAUUGUAAGAAUGCCGAGCUAGGUCGAGGUAUCUGACCGUAGGUUUCUCGGGCAUCCAUCUUUGCGGUUCUCGGACGAAGCAGUUCUGCUGGCGUCUUCUUGCUGCCGGGUUCUUUGAGCGUCAUCGGCUCUACAUCGGUCUUACCUCGGUCAUCUCCUUCCGCAUUCUCUCGGCCCUCAGGGUCCUUCUUCUUGCCAAGCCUUUUCUCUCGCUGUUGCGUCCUUCUCGUUUGUGGUGUCCUGUGUCACGGGUGUUGGUGUGCGUUUGGCCCUGCGCUGCUCUGCCCUGCUGCGUAGCCUGGGUGUAGGGGUAAUAGGGCAUGUCCCGGGGACUUGAAGUUUGCAGUGUAGGGUGUAGUGGGAGCGUAGAGGGUAUUUUUAGGUGGGCACAAGAUGCCUGGAGGUUUUAAGUUAUCCUGCAGUGCUCUGACUUUUGUACUGACUUUCAGAUGCAGAUGGAUUAAAUCUGUGGCAGAGGGCCCCAUCCUGGGUGAGGGUGUUCUCCUCCUCCACUGCCUGAAGAAGAAGGUUGGUUGGUGUUGGUCUUGGCAGGGGAGGUGUGAAUGGUGGCUACAUUGCAGCAUUGUUCUUUGUGUUUAUUUUUAGGUACUAAAGCUGGGUAUUGGCAGUAAAGGUCAAUGAAGCAAGGUGAGCAGUGACUGGUGGAUAGAAGCAGUUUUUAUUGCUCAGGUCUUAAUUUCUGGUGCAGCUCUAAGCAUCCACUGUUGUUUUUUUAUUUUAGUUGGUUCACUUGCUGGAUGUCCCAGCCCUGGAUGCCAGAGGCCAGAUGGGUGUAAGCUUAAGGUACACUUGUGGCAUACCUUAGUUGGACUGGGGAGGUUGCUGUUUCACACUGUUUCAGCAUGCAUUUUUGCUUGAUUUCUUUGCAGGUGCUGCUGCUGCCCUAGGCAUGCCAAGGAACGGAGGAGAGCAGGUGAGGGGGCAUUUAGGCAGGGUCGCUCCUGGGCAAGGGGUUAAGCAUGUACCUUUUCAUUUUGCAGGUAUCCUCCGGGCAGCCUCUGGAGUCGAAUGUAGAUCUAAGAUGAGCCAGGACAGCAGUGUGGAGGAGACCUGGGGAUUAUUCUUCUGGAGGGGAUCGUCACAUUUUCAUUUUCAUGGUCCUAGGUGCCCUGUGGAGGUGCAGAGCUGAUUUUGGAUACGGCAGCACCGAAGCGGACACAGAGAAUGUCUCGAUGUUGACGGUCCUGAUGCGUUCUUUUCAAUCAAGAAUGGAUUUUGUCUACUCAUCUCCUGAAAGAUAAGUGUUGGGGCUGGUGGUCAGGAGCAGAGGAAAAACUUUUUCUGUUCUAGGAGGCAAUUUAAAGUUAGCUGAGACGAGAGGGCUGUAGAGGGAUGGACCAUUUGGAAGUAAAGGGAGAGCAUUUCUCCUCAGCCUCGUUGGAGCCUUCCCUGGCCAGGACAGUUCUGACCCCUCUCCGUGUUCUAGCGAGCUUUGUGGUGUCAGCUAUCUUCAGGAGUGCACAGGGUUAGGGUGCACCAGGGGAUGCCUGGCCCACCCUGGGAUCCGUGUCCUAGGAGGAACCCAAGUUGCAGGUUGUACGGUUCAGCAGGGGCACUUGACAGUGACACACAGAGGCUGAGGGAGGGCUUGAGAGGGAAAGGACUCAAGGGCUAGAGAGCACAGAGUGAAAAUAAGGGCUACAAGUUAGAAUACAGAUAUAUCAGCCCUCACAGCAGCCCCUCCCAACCCUUGUUGUUCUGAGAGUAGGUGCUGGCAGCAACCCUAAUGCAGGACAAUGCCAGAACUCGUGAGAAGUGCAGGCAGUAACCCUAAGGCUAGGGUGAGGCAGGAAGUGAUAGUGGGGAGCAGCAUCCGACAGGGUUGAGUAUAACCGGGGGUUUCCCGCCCCAGCCCACCCUGCGAUCGUCUGUCUCUCCGCAGCCGGGGAUUGCUGCCUGUCCCCGCUCGAGGCGACGGUCGGCUGGGCUUCGUGGCCAUUGCCACCGCAAAGAGCUCUUCAGCUCUGUCAGCCUCUGCCCUGACUCAGGGCCAUGCUUCGGAUAGGAAGGGCAAACUGUGGAUGAUGUGUCUCGCUUGCGGGACAACUCUUGGGACCCUAACGGUAAAGGCGCGUCCUCGGCUGCAAGCGUAGGGUUCUCGAGAAGUAGGGUUCAGCAGGGGCACUUGAUAGUGACACACAGAGCCUGAGGGAGGACUUGAGAGGGAAAGGACUCAAGGGCUAGAGAGCACAGAGUGAAAAUAAGGGCUAUAGCCAGGGAUACAAGUUAGAAUACAGAUAUACCUGCCCUCACAGCAUCCCUCCCAACACCCCUGUUUUUCUGAGAGUAGGUGCCGGCAGCAACCCUAAUGCAGGACAGUGCCAGAACUCCUGAGAGGUGCAGGCAGUAAGCUGAAGGCUAGGCGAGGCAGAAAGCAGCAGUGGGGUUGUGGAUUCCCCUGGGUUUUUUAUUAACAGGAUAUGCCCACCAUGGGAUCUGUGUCCUGCUCUGGUGAGUGGUCACUGCCCCAAAAACGCGAUGAGGACUUUGGCUCUGCAAGUUUGAGCCUCUGAGCGUUGCUAAAUCUAUUAUUCAAUGACCCAGGCAUUCAUAGAAGACAGUGAGUAGCAAAGGGGCAGGUGUUGGUAAUUGUGCUGCCAAGGCCUUGUGUUCACAUUUGGUUUCCUUUAUUGUAGCCGCCUGAGAGACGACAGCCCGGUACCAGUGGGAAAUUCCUCAAGGGCGAGGCGGCCUCGUUUUGCACCCGAUGCCGAUUGGCGUUCCCAGACAUCAAAGAGAUAAGUGGAGGGCUGUGAGCCACAGAGGGGGCUGAAAGCGGGGUGGCCAGUCAGGAGUCAGCAGGAGGGUUUUUUGAGUCAGAUUUGCAGUCUGGGAUGGCCAAGAUGUGGCCCCUUAGGGACCUAAAGGGAAAGUCUCACUUGAUCGAAGUGCUGAACUGUGCAGGGCAGAGCAGUCCCAGGCCAUGUGGAGUCACUUGUCUGUUGUGCACUCUGUGUCUUUUGGGCGUCUCACAUGCAAUGUCUUCUGCCUUAGCUCUUCAAGGAGCCUCUUGGAAACACCAGGCAUCGUUCUUAAUACCUCCCUAUUCCUCAGCUCGGCACCUUUGACACUCGGGACCUCGCACGCACAUCAGAAUCGCAUCUCUCUUCAGAAGCAUCCGGUCCCAGGUCUUUUCAGGUCUUGUUCUGAGCUGUACUGGCAGCUGUGCACAGCAGUGAUCCCUUAUGGCGGAUUAGGCCUCGUAAGAAGGCCGAGCUAGGUCGAGGUAUCUGACCGUAGGUUUCUCGGGCAUCCAUCUUUGCGGUUCUCGGACGAAGCAGUUCUGCUGGCGUCUUCUUGCUGCUGGGUUCUUCGAGCCUCAUCGGCUCACCAUCGGUCUUACCUCGAUCGCCUGCUUUCACAUUUUCUUGAUCCUUAGUCAUUCUGGAUCAUUCAUCUUGCCGAGCCUUUUCUCUCGCUGUUGCGUCCUUCUCGUUUGUGGUGUCCUGUGUCACGGGUGUUGGUGUGUGUUUGGCCCUGCGCUGCUCUGCCCUGCUGCGUAGCCUGGGUGUAGGAGUAAUAGGACAUGUCUUGGGGACUUGAAUUUUGCAGUGUAGGGUGUAGUUGGAGCGUAGAGGGUAUUUCUAGAUGAGCACAAGAUGCCUGGAGCUUUUAAGUUAUCCUGCAGCGCUCUGACUUUUGUGCUAACUCUCUUUAAGCUGCGGAUGGAUUAGAUCCAUGGCAGAGGGCCCCAUUCCAGGUGAGGGGCUCUGCCCCAUGCAGGUCAGUCACCAUUUGUCUUCAGAGGGGCAGCGUAAAUGGUGGCUGUGUUACAGCGCUGUUCUUUGCAUUUGUUUUUAGGAAGCAUGGCUGGAUAGCGGCAGCCAAGGUGAAGCAAACAAGGUGAGCGUUGAUUGGUGGACAGAAUCAGUUGCUGUUGCUCAAGUCUCUCUUGAUGGUGUAACUGUAAGUGUCCAUUAUGGUGUGUUUUAGGGGGUCCACUCGCAUCACGCCGAACUCCGCUCAGCGACCGGACGACGGAGCUGCUUCGCCUCUCUCGUGAGCCGUCGGGGAGCACGACAGGACUCCGUGAUGAAGCCUCCAUCUUCUCCGUUUGAAGGUGCCGUCCGGACUGCGGUAAGGGCCGAGGCGUUGCGGUGGGUCGGGGAGGUAGGGAGGAGGAGCGAGGGUCCACUCAAGUUUCAGCCGUGCCGCAUCACCUCGUCUCCUCUUAAGCCAGGUAUACCCUGUGACCUUGGCGUGGGGCUCAAGGAUCCGGGCCUUUUCGGGAGAUGGUGAGUAGCAGAAUUGUCAGGUGUUGGCAGUAGUGCUGCCAAGGCCACGUGUUCACGUUUGGUUUCCUUUAUUCUAGCCGCCUGAGAGACGACAGCCCGGUACCAGCGGGAAAUUCCUCAAGGGCGAGGCGGCCUUGUUUUGCACCCGAUGCCGAUUGGCGUUCCCAGACAUCAAAGAGAUAAGUGGAGGGCUGUGAGCCACAGAGGAGUUGAAAGCGGGGUGGCCGGUUGGGUUUUUUGAGUCAGAUUUGCAGUCUGGGAUGGCCAAGAUGUGGCCCCUUGGCCUACUAAAAGGUAAAGUCUCACUUUUGAUAGCAGUGCUGAACUGUGCAGGGCAGAGCAGUCCCAGGCCAUGUGGAGUCACUUGUCUGUUGUGCACUCUGUGUCUUUUGCGUGUCUUGCCUUUCGUGUCGUUGUCCCUACAAGGGGCCUUUUGGAAACCCUGGCUUGUGUCUUAGCAUUUGUAAUCUCUGCGUUCCUCAGCUCGGUGGCUUUGACUCGGGACCUCGCACGCACAUCAGAAUCACAUCUCUCUUCAGAAGCAUCCGGUCCCAGGUCUUUUCAGGUCUUGUUCUGAGCUGUACUGACAGCUGUGCACCGCAAUGAUCCAUUGUGGCGGAGUAGGCAUUGUAAGAAUGCCGAGAUAGGUCGAGGUAUCUGACCGUAGGGUUCUCGGGCAUCCAUCUUUGCGGUUCUCGGACGAAGCAGUUCUGCUGGCAUCUUCUUGCUGCCGGGUUCUUUGAGCCUCAUCGGCUCUACAUCGGUCUUAUCUCGGUCAUCUCCUUCCGCAUUCUCUCGGCCCUCAGGGUCCUUCUUCUUGCCGAGCCUUUUCUCUCGCUGUUGCGUCCUUCUCGUUUGUGGUGUCCUGCAUCACGGGUGUUGGUGUGCGUUUGGCCCUGCGCUGCUCUGCCCUGCUGCAUAACCUGGGUGUAGGGGUAAUAGGACAUGUCCCGGGGACUUGAAGUUUGCAGUGUAGGGUGUAGUGGGAGCGUAGAGGGUAUUUUUAGGUGGGCACAAGAUGCCUGGAGCUUUUAAGUUAUCCUGCAGCGCUCUGACUUUUGUCCUAAAUUUUUUUCAGAUGCGGAUGGAUUUUCCCCUGGCAGAGCACCCCAAGGAGGAAACGGUUGUGGGUGAGAGACUUGCACACUGAAGGCAGCUGGCAAAAGAGGAGAGAGCCCCUGCGAGGCAGAGCCCCUGGAAUGCCCUGUCCCGGUCUGAGGUUCCCACUUUUCUCUCCAACUCCCGGAGAAUUGCUGGAGCAGAACCAGAGAGAGUCCAUUUUAUUUCCUGCCUUUUCCAAUAAACGGUGACUUUCAGCUGGAGUGUGUUCCUGGUGUCAUCCUCCUCCUCCUCCUCCCUGGAUUUGUAAAUAAAUGUCCUGAUUUUGGCCAAGGAGAA